rnacentral:rRNA from 1 species
GUCUUUUAGAUUAUAAUUUAAAGUCUAACCUGCCCACUGAAAAAUUUUGAAGGGCCGCGGUAUUUUGACUGUGCAAAGGUAGCAUAAUCAUUAGUCUUUUAAUUGAAGGCUUGUAUGAAUGGUUGGAUGAAACAUUAACUGUCUCAAAUUAAUAUUUAGAAUUUAAUUUUUAAGUUAAAAAGCUUAAAUUAAAUAAGAGGACGAGAAGACCCUAUAGAUCUUAAUAGUUAAUAAUCUAAUAAUAUUUUAGUUAAAUAUAAAUUUUUAUUUUAUAAAUUAUUGUAUUGGGGUGAUAAAUAAAUUUAGUAAACUUUAUAUAAUAAAAACAUUAAUUUAUGAAUAUUUGAUCCAUUAAUAAUGAUUAAAAGAUUAAGUUACCUUAGGGAUAACAGCGUAAUUUUUUUAGAGAGUUCUAAUCGAUAAAAGAGUUUGCGACCUCGAUGUUGAAUUAAAGAUUAAUUUAGGUGUAGAAGUUUAAAUAUUUGGUCUGUUCGACCAUUAAAUC